CCAAUGAGUUCCUCCAGCAAGUGAAACCAAUUAGAUUGGCCAGGCAGGAGCUCUUAGAGCCCUCUGUGACAAGCUGCUAGAUUGCAUCUAAGUACCCACAUUGCAUGAUGGAAAAAACAAAAGUUUCAACCAAAAAGAAGAUCCACAGAUUUAAAGCUGAUGGCAGAAUGUUCCUCUUAGCUCACUCACCUGAGACCUCACCCAAGUUCACUGUGAGUUAGGCUCCUGCUCAGGAAUCCAGCCUGGAAUCAGAUGGGCCUCUGCAGACCUCUACUAUGGAUUUGCUGCAAUUGUGGACAAGACAAAGAUCUACCCACAGGGAUCUGGGAUCAGGAUCAUACAGUGAGGCUGCCUCGACUCAGAACAGGCACUGUGCUCAUCACUGGCAUAUACUGAAUUAAAUACACUGCCUGUGCUUACAAAGUAAUAAUUGCUAAUGAGCUACUCUGCUGUCACCACCUAUAAAUGCUGUUAUGCCUAUUCAAAGCCAAGCAGAUAAAAUGCUUCUAUAUUUUCAGAAUUACUUUCAGACUGUUACAAGAUAUAGGACAGAAAAUAGUACAGGAAGUGUAAAGCAAUCUGAGAUUCCUUUCUCUGGUGUAAGCAACACUGUCUCUAACCCCAGUGGCACAACCCAGCAUUUCUAGCAGAAAUAAUUCCACAUGAUAAUAGGGAAUUAAAUGUAGUGAAUAACAGUAA